AUGAUCUUCACUGCUCGACAGCUCCAAGAAAAAUGCAGAGAACAAAACCAACCUCUGUACAUGGCAUUCAUUGACCUUGCAAAGGCAUUUGACACAGUGAAUCGCAGCGCUCUCUGGACCAUCCUCCAAAAAAUCGGGUGCCCUGACAAAUUUGUGAACAUCCUGCGGCUCCUCCAUGAUGACAUGAUGGCAACAGUCUUGGACAGCAACGGCUCCCAAAGUGACCCAUUUAAGGUGGAAUCAGGUGUCAAGCAGGGAUGUGUUAUUGCCCCUACCUUAUUUUCCAUCUUCAUCGCUAUGAUACUUCACCUUGUUGAUGGGAAGCUUCCCACCAGAGUGGAAGUCAUCUAUCGGACAGAUAGCAAGCUAUUUAACCUCAGCAGACUGAGAGCCAAAACCAAGGUCACCACAACAUCUGUUAUAGAACUCCAAUAUGCCGAUGACAACGUAGUCUGUGCGCAUUCAGAAGAAGACCUACAAGCCACUCUAAACACCUUCGCAGAAGCAUACGAGAAGCUCGGCCUCUCACUGAACAUCAAGAAAACCAAAGUGCUCUUCCAACAGGCACCAGCUAAUCCCUCUGCAAUGCCAGGAAUACAGGUCAAUGGUGUCACACUAGAAAACGUUUACCAUUUCCGCUACCUUGGCAGCCACCUCUCCACAAAAGUCAACAUCGACACUGAAAUACAACACUGCCUGAGCUCUGCGAGUGCAGCAUUUUUCCGAAUGAAGCAGAGAGUGUUUGAUGAUUGGGACAUCCGUAGAGAUACCAAGGUGCUUGUUUAUAAAGCCAUUGUCCUCCCAACCCUGCUCUACACCAGCGAAACGUGGAUGGUCUACAGAUGUCACACUCAACUCUUGGAGCAUUUCCAUCAGCGUUGCCUCAGAAAAAUCCUACAAAUCUCUUGGGAAGACAGGCGGACACAUGUCAGCGUGCUUGAGGAAGCAAAGACCACCAGCAUUGAAGCGAUGCUCCUACGCCAUCAACUCUGCUGGACUGGCCACGUUGUCCGAAUGCCCGAUCACCGUCUCCCAAAGCAGUUGCUCUACUCCGAACUCAAGAACGGGAAACGUAAUGUUGGUGGGCAGGAAAAGAGAUUUAAAGAUGGGCUUAAAGCCAACCUUAAAAACUGUGGCAUAGACACUGAGAACUGGGAAGCCCUGGCCCUUGAGCGCUCUAAUUGGAGGUCAGUUGUGACCAGCAGUGCUGCGGAGUUUGAAGAGGCACGAAUGGAGGGCUUAAGGGAGAAACGUGCCAAGAGGAAGGAGCGUCAAGCUAACCCCGACCGGGACCGCCUUCCACCUGGAAACCGAUGUCCUCACUGCAGGAGAAUAUGCGGGUCAAGAAUAGGUUUCUUCAGCCACCUAAGAACCCACCCCCAAGACACCAAGGAUGGAAGACAAUCGUCCUCGAGCUACGAGGGAUCGCCUAAGUAA
rnacentral:lncRNA from 1 species